rnacentral:rRNA from 1 species
AGUGAACGCUGGCGGCAGGCCUAACACAUGCAAGUCGAGCGGCAGCGCGGGGGCAACCCUGGCGGCGAGCGGCGGACGGGUGAGGAAUUCGUCGGAAUCUGCCUUUUUGUGGGGGAUAACGUAGGGAAACUUACGCUAAUACCGCAUACGUCCUACGGGAGAAAGUGGGGGACCGCAAGGCCUCACGCAGAAAGAUGAGCCGACGACCGAUUAGCUAGUUGGUGGGGUAAAGGCCCACCAAGGCGACGAUCGGUAGCUGGUCUGAGAGGAGGAUCAGCGACACGGGGACUGAGACACGGCCCAGACUCCUAAGAGAGGCAGCAGUGGGGAAUAUUGGACAAUGGGCGCAAGCCUGAUCCAGCCAGGCCGCGUGUGUGAAGAAGGCCUUCGGGUUGUAAAGCACUUUUGUCCGGAAAGAAAUCCCUGGAGCUAAUACCUUCGGGGGAUGACGGUACCGGAAGAAUAAGCACCGGCUAACUUCGUG